rnacentral:lncRNA from 1 species
GGAAACCGAGUUCUUUUGUAGCAUUUUAGUUAGAGUUAUAGAAAAAUCUAUAACUCUUAUUUUGUUAAGUAAAAAAAAAAAUCUUAUGCUCUUCUAAUUUUAGUCACCAAUAACAACUAUGUUAGGAAUAGUAGAAAAUGUUAUGUGUGGUAGAGAAACUGUUUUAGUGUGGUGUUGUAGGAGUACUGCGGGUCUAAGAAACUUUGUUUUCAUCGAUAAAUUAUUCUAUUGGUCUAUUAAAACAGUAUGAAAACUUUCCAGUAUUUAUAUUUGAUGUCUUUUUUUCAUUUUAUUUUAUAAUUGUAAUUUAAGUUUCAAAAAGCAGCAAAAACAACUUGAAAAGAACUAUCGCACAAUGACUCGCUUAAACACAGGAUUCCAAUUUCCUGAUAUACAUGGAAAUGCUGAUAUUGCUUUCACUAUAUUGUCUCUUUGUAAUGUGUAACAUCAUUUUUACGUAGGUUUGCCAAAUGACCGGCUUUUACAGAGUAGAAUAUAGUCCCAAACAUAUACAGUUCAGUUCUUUUACUGCUUUCUUCUUCAUUUAAGCCGGACGUCUUGCAACCCUUGAAUUUCCCCUUCUUUUUGUUUGCAUAAAUUACAUAAUUCUCUUAAUUAUAAAUACUCCAAAUCCGAUUUUCGAACAGCUUAUUUUAAAAUCUAAAGAAAUGUAAGCGAUUAAAGAUUACAUUUUGCAAGCCAACUAGAUGCUUAAACAACUCAAAAGACAGCCACGCGCUCAUUAUAACUCUCUUAUAGUUUUAGAAUCUGAAAAUGAACACACAAGAAAAUUUAAACGACGAUGAUGGUGACUUUUUUAGAAAAAAAUUAGAAGAUUUACAAAAGUCCAUAGGUGAGUAAAAUUGCUUUUAUGUUUAUUAUACACCCUAAUUAUUUAUGUACAUCUAAUAUUAAAUGCGUUUUUUCAAUUUGAGAUUAGUUUUGGACUUUGUACUUUUUGGUCAAUUUUUUUAGAUAUCAUUUUAAACUACAUUUGUAAGUAACUAUAUUAUGUUUUAUGUCUCAUAAAAGUUUUAAUAAAUAAUAUAAUGUAAUCACUUAUAUAGUGACAAAUCCAACUUCCUCAGUAACGUAUGUUGUUGUACUCACUUAUACUUGACUUAUUACAUUAAUUGAUUGUUUUUAUUGCAUUUUUAAUUUUCUUUUAUUUAUCUCUAGCUGCUGCUUCUUCUGUUACAACUGCUGCUUCUUCUGUUACAAGCUCGAAGUCAUGGGAAGAUUUCAGAAAGUAUCACUCCCAGCAUCCAGGCCCUCUAUCUAUGAGGGCCUUCCAUCGCUGGUGUUUGUAUGGGGACGACCAUCCCUCCUUUAGAUGGAGGGAUGGCACCCCAUACAACACGGGGAAUAGAGCGGAUGCUGGGAGGAGAAGACAACGUGGCGCAAAAGUUGUCAAUAAUUUUUUUACAUAUUAAAAUGUGAAGAAAUUGACAACUUUUGAGCCACUUCAUUUUUUUUUUGUAAUAUAUUUUUGUAAAUUUA